CCCGUUGUAGCUCAAUGGUAGAGCGGCCGGCUGUAGCCUGUGUAGAAAGAAACCGGCAGGUUGGGUGUUCAAAUCACUCCAACGGGA
rnacentral:tRNA from 1 species